rnacentral:tRNA from 1 species
GGAGGGGUGGCAGAGUGGUCGAAUGCACUGGUCUUGAAAACCAGCGAGGGUGAAAGCCCUCCGAGAGUUCGAAUCUCUCCUCCUCCGCCA